rnacentral:lncRNA from 1 species
UAAAAUACAUUUUAAAAUUCUGACUUCAACUAACUGACAUUUCACAUUUACAAUAAACUAACUUAGCUAACUCAUUCACAUGGCAUUCACAUAAUCCAAUAACAAACUAAUUUCCUAAAAUUCAAACAGUUUGAUCAACUUCCUUAAUGCAUAACACCAAAUUGGUUGAUUUUCAUCUAAGCAUGUUCCUUCAUUCAUCACUAACCCUAGUUGCUUCAGUGUAAGCAUUUAAUUAAUCUUUUC